rnacentral:rRNA from 1 species
UGGAUAGGAGACAAGAGGGCAUCUUCUUGUUUUUAAAAGACCUAGCAAUAGGUAUGCUUAGGGAGGAGCUUGCGUCACAUUAGUUAGUUGGUGGGGUAAAGGCCUACCAAGACUAUGAUGUGUAGCCGGGCUGAGAGGUUGAACGGCCACAUUGGGACUGAGACACGGCCCAAACUCCUACGGGAGGCAGCAGUAGGGAAUUUUCGGCAAUGGAGGAAACUCUGACCGAGCAACGCCGCGUGAACGAUGAAGUAUUUCGGUACGUAAAGUUCUUUUAUUAGGGAAGAAUAAAUGAUGGAAAAAUCAUUCUGACGGUACCUAAUGAAUAAGCCCCGGCUAACUAUGUGCCAGCAGCCGCGGUAAUACAUAGGGGGCAAGCGUUAUCCGGAAUUAUUGGGCGUAAAGGGUGCGUAGGCGGUUAAAUAAGUUUAUGGUCUAAGUGCAAUGCUCAACAUUGUGAUGCUAUAAAAACUGUUUAGCUAGAGUAAGAUAGAGGCAAGUGGAAUUCCAUGUGUAGUGGUAAAAUGCGUAAAUAUAUGGAGGAACACCAGUAGCGAAGGCGGCUUGCUGGGUCUUUACUGACGCUGAGGCACGAAAGCGUGGGGAGCAAACAGGAUUAGAUACCCUGGUAGUCCACGCCGUAAACGAUGAGUACUAAACGUUGGGUAAAACCAGUGUUGAAGUUAACACAUUAAGUACUCCGCCUGAGUAGUACGUACGCAAGUAUGAAACUUAAAGGAAUUGACGGGACUCCGCACAAGCGGUGGAUCAUGUUGUUUAAUUCGAAGGUACCCGAAAAACCUCACCAGGUCUUGACAUGCUUCUGCAAAGCUGUAGAAACACAGUGGAGGUUAUCAGUUGCACAGGUGGUGCAUGGUUGUCGUCAGCUCGUGUCGUGAGAUGUUGGGUUAAGUCCCGCAACGAGCGCAACCCUUAUUGUUAGUUACCAGCACGUAAUGGUGGGGACUUUAGCAAGACUGCCAGUGAUAAAUUGGAGGAAGGUGGGGACGACGUCAAAUCAUCAUGCCCCUUAUGACCUGGGCUACAAACGUGAUACAAUGGCUGUUACAAAGGGUAGCUGAAGCGCAAGUUUUUGGCGAAUCUCAAAAAAACAGUCUCAGUUCGGAUUGAAGUCUGCAACUCGACUUCAUGAAGUUGGAAUCGCUAGUAAUCGCGAAUCAGCAUGUCGCGGUGAAUACGUUCUCGGGGUUUGUACACACCGCCCGUCAAACCACGA